GAACUGAAGGAGAAGUCUAGAGAAGCCAGCUACACCUACAUUAGAAAGAGUGGAACAGAUCACGGGUCACAGGAUUAAGAAAAUAUAAACAUAAGGUGCCAUGGAAGAAUAUCUUCAAUCAAAUCCAGCAAAAUACCUGUUCUCUACGCUAGGUGCACAGGUGUCUUGACUCAUUGCUGCCACACAUUGGCCACUCUCAUCGAAUUCAGAGGACUCAUGGAAACCACACACCCACUAGCUGUUCCCUCAGAAGCCCCUGAAUUACCAACAAAAAGCUGGUUCGUCUCGGCUACUGAGAAAUAAUUUGUCAUGUUUCAUCCCCUAAAUGAAAGAUGCCAGACUGAAUGCCCGUCUGAGAAAGGGACAGAGCAUGAGAUCUAACAAAGAACCUCAGCACUCAAAAAGUUUACCACUAAAAUGGAGUGACAAGGAAAGCAGGGGAAGAAAAAUCACUACUGGAAGUACUGCUACUAUCACCACUGCUCCUGGGAGGAAUCACCGCAGCAGCUGUUCAUCAAGUGCUUCCUGCAGCCAAUCACUAGGCUAAAAGCACCUGACAUGCCACAUCACAGCAGCUUGCUAACAAUAGCUGCUGUGAUUCUCACUUAACAAUAAAAGUGUGGCUCAGCGAGGCCAAGGAGCUUUUUCAAAAUCUUGUCACUAAUAAAUCUCAGAGUCCAGGCUUGAACCCAUGUCAACCUGACCCUAACGCCUUGGUCUUCACCUGAGUGCUUGCUAUGUGCCAGGCAUUGUCAACAGUACUUUAUAUUAAUUGUGUCACUUAAUUGUUAAACAGCCCUAUCAGUUCUCCAUCAAUAUUCCCUGAAGGGAAUGGGGCCUUGGAAAGAUUAGUGAACUGGACCCCUGACAUGAUCUCUUCCUUCCAAUACUUACAAUAAACUACUGUUUAGUAUGGAGAAGAAAGACUAGUGGAUAUUGAAGAACUGGCAGAAUAAAC
rnacentral:lncRNA from 10 species